AGAAAGAUCAGUGCACAUACUGCAAGGAGAUAGGGCAUUGGGCCUGAGAUUGUCAGAAAAAGGCUGGCGGGAAGGGAAGCAAGACUGAUGGAGUAAAAGUCUUAGAGCUAGAUGAACUGAGUGAUUAGGGGAGUUGGGGUUCGGACCCUCUCCCUGAACCCAGGGUAACUCUUAAAGUGGAGGGGACUCCUGUUGACUUCCUUGUCAACACCGGAGCACAACAUUUGGUCCUCCGCACCCCACAAGGAAAGCUAGCCAGCAAGAAGUCCUGGGUACAAGGGGCAACUGGUAUGAGCCAGUAUUCAUGGACUACCCGAAGAACAGUAGAUUUGGGGACGGGACGGGUAUCCCACUCCUUUAUGGUAAUACCGGAGUGCCCCUACCAGCUGUUAGGAUGGGACUUACUGACCAAGAUUGGAGCUCAGAUAACUUUCAGACAAGGGGGGCCUCAGGUCACCAUACCCCAUGUCUCAGGAGGGCUGGAAGGGGAUCCAGCCACACAUCCAGAGACUACAAAGCCUAGGGGUACUAGUUCCUUGCCAGUCUCCCUGGAACACCCCCCUACUGCCAGUCAAAAAGCAUCACACAAAUGACUAUCGACUGAUACAAGACCUCCGGGAAGUAAAUAAGAGGGCCACAGACAUACACCCAACUGUUCCCAACCCAUAUACUCUCUUGAGCUCCUUGGCACCCUCCAGGGUCUGGUAUACUGUACUAGAUUUAAAGGACUCCUUCUUCAGUCUGCCGCUGGCACCCCAAAGCCAACCCUUGUUCACCUUCGAGUGGCAUGAUCCAGAGGAGGGCUACAGCGGACAACUCACCUGGACACGGCUGCCUCAGGG